AUUGAACGCUGGCGGCAGGCCUAACACAUGCAAGUCGAGCGGUUGAAGGGAGCUUGCUCCCUGAUUCAGCGGCGGACGGGUGAGUAAUGCCUAGGAAUCUGCCUAUUAGUGGGGGACAACGUUUCGGAAGGAACGCUAAUACCGCAUACGUCCUACGGGAGAAAGCAGGGGACCUUCGGGCCUUGCGCUAAUAGAUGAGCCUAGGUCGGAUUAGCUUGUUGGUGAGGUAAUGGCUCACCAAGGCGACGAUCCGUAACUGGUCUGAGAGGAUGAUCAGUCACACUGGAACUGAGACACGGUCCAGACUCCUACGGGAGGCAGCAGUGGGGAAUAUUGGACAAUGGGCGAAAGCCUGAUCCAGCCAUGCCGCGUGUGUGAAGAAGGUCUUCGGAUUGUAAAGCACUUUAAGUUGGGAGGAAGGGUUGUAGAUUAAUACUCUGCAAUUUUGACGUUACCGACAGAAUAAGCACCGGCUAACUCUGUGCCAGCCGCCGCAGUAA
rnacentral:rRNA from 1 species